GCUGUGAGGAUGUGAGAAUGGACAUGAAGCAACUGGAACAUUCUGGAACAUUCCUUACAAAUCCUGCACCAACACCACUAAUGAAGAGAAGUUGAAUAGAGAUAAAACAGGAGGUGCCAGUUUAUGGGAUGGCAGUGUAAGCUCUGCACAUUUGUCGUAUCAUCAAAAGGAAUUUCGAUCAUUACCGAGUGAAGCAU